rnacentral:lncRNA from 1 species
GAUAGAAACUCAGCUCAGGCCCAAUUAAGUGAAAAAAGCAAACUCCCAAACUCAGUUACCUAACUGAGAAGUUGAGGGUGCAUUUAGCUCUCACCCUGAUUGUAUUCAGAGCCUUAACUGAGGUCCUUAAGUUUUUCUCCUUUCCUUUUCUUCAUUCCUUGGCUUGCCUUUAUUUUCAGGAAGCCUCUCUUCACCUUUGGGGCAGGACGCCUGUCAGCAAUUCCAGACAUACUCUUCAGGGCAACAUCCCCAGGGAAAAUUACCUUGUUAACUACAGAAAAGAAAUCCUAUGGAGGACUUAAAAUGAUUUUGCUUGGGUCACACUUUCCUUUGUGUGACUGAAGAUGGGGUUAAUUUUAUUGACCAAGUGCAGGACACAUGAUAUACGCCUGUAUGAGGACAUAAUAUGGGGCCAGACACAGUGGCUGACGCCUGUAAUCCCAACACUUUUGGAGGGCGAGAUGGCGGAUCACCUGAGGUCAGGAGUUCGAGACCAGCCUUCAACAUGGUGAAACCCCAUCUCUACUAAAAAUACAAAAAUUAGCUGGGCAUGGUGGCAGGUGCCUGUAAUCCCAGAUACUCGGGAGGCUGAGGCAAGAGAAUUGCUUCAACCCGGGAGGCAGAGGUUGCAGUGAGCCAAGAUCUCACCACUGCACUCCAGCGUAGGUGACAUGAGCAAAACUUUGUCUCACACACAAAAAAGACAUAAUAUGAUAAAGAGAAUCUUUGUGUGUGUGUAAG